rnacentral:rRNA from 1 species
AUUGAACGCUGGCGGCAGGCCUAACACAUGCAAGUCGAGCGAGCGGCGGACGGGUGAGUAAUGUCUGGGAAACUGCCUGAUGGCUGGGGAUAACUACUGGAAACGGUAGCUAAUACCGCAUACCAUCAGCUUUGCCCAGAUGGGGGUAGCUAGUCGGUGGGGUAACGGCUCACCUAGGCGACGAUCCCUAGCUGGUCUGAGAGGAUGACCAGCAACACUGGGACGGAGACACGGUCCAGACUCCUACGGGAGGCAGCAGUGGGGAAUCUUGCGCAAUGGACGCAAGCCUGAUGCAGCCAUGCCGCGUGUGUGAAGAAGGCCUUCGGGUUGUAAAGCACUGUCAGCGGAGAGGCGGUACCCGCAGAAGAAGCACCGGCUAACUCCGUGCCAGCAGCCGCGGUAAUUC